UACAAUUUAAUGUAAGAUGCAUAAAGAACUUUGAAUUCUUUAGUUUUGGUUUAAUUCCAAUAUUUGUAA
rnacentral:tRNA from 1 species